ACGUAGGGCGCAAGCGUUGUCCGGAAUUACUGGGCGUAAAGGGCUCGUAGGCGGCCAACUAAGUCAGACGUGAAAUCCCACGGCUUAACCGGGGAACUGCGUCUGAUACUGGAUGGCUUGAGUUUGGGAGAGGGAUGCGGAAUUCCAGGUGUAGCGGUGAAAUGCGUAGAUAUCUGGAGGAAUACCGGUGGCGAAGGCGGCGUUCUGGACCAACACUGACGCUGAGGAGCGAAAGCCAGGGGAGCAAACGGGA
rnacentral:rRNA from 1 species